CCUGUACCAGUUGCUUUUGUUUGAGCGAUGGAGGGACGCAGGAGGCUAAGGAAUGCACACGAUCGGAAAUGUGUGUCCAAGCAGCAAGUCUGAGAACGAGUGAAAUGCUUUUUCUCUCAAGGACAAGCUGUGAUGGGGAGCGAAAUUUAGUAGCGAAGUUCCUGAUGUCACACUGCCAAGAAAAGCUUCUAGUGAGAAAGUAACUGCCCGUACCGUAAACCGACACAGGUAGUUGAGGAGAGAAUCCUAAGGUGUGCGAGAGAACUCUCGUUAAGGAACUCGGCAAAAUGACCCCGUAACUUCGGGAGAAGGGGUGCUGACCGCAAGGUCAGCCGCAGUGAAUAGGCCCAAGCGACUGUUUAUCAAAAACACAGGUCUCUGCAAAAUCGAAAGAUGACGUAUAGGGGCUGACGCCUGCCCGGUGCUGGAAGGUUAAGAGGAGAGGUUAGCGCAAGCGAAGCUUUGAAUUGAAGCCCCAGUAAACGGCGGCCGUAACAAUAACGGUCCUAAGGUAGCGAAAUUCCUUGUCGGGUAAGUUCCGACCCGCACGAAAGGCGUAACGAUUUGGGCACUGUCUCAACGAGAGACUCGGUGAAAUUAUAGUACCAGUGAAGAUGCUGGUUACCCGCGACAGGACGGAAAGACCCCAUGGAGCUUUACUGCAGUUUGAUAUUGCGUGUUUGUAUCACAUGUACAGGAUAGGUAGGAGCCGAAGAUACCGGGACGCCAGUCUCGGAGGAGGCAACGGUGGGAUACUACCCUUGUGAUAUGACCACUCUAACCCGCUGCUCUUAGCGAGCAGGGAGACAGUGUCAGACGGGCAGUUUGACUGGGGCGGUCGCCUCCAAAAAUGUAACGGAGGCGCCCAAAGGUUCCCUCAGAAUGGUUGGAAAUCAUUCGUAGAGUGUAAAGGCAGAAGGGAGCUUGACUGCGAGACCUACAAGUCGAGCAGGGACGAAAGUCGGGCUUAGUGAUCCGGUGGUUCCGCAUGGAAGGGCCAUCGCUCAACGGAUAAAAGCUACCCUGGGGAUAACAGGCUUAUCUCCCCCAAGAGUUCACAUCGACGGGGAGGUUUGGCACCUCGAUGUCGGCUCAUCGCAUCCUGGGGCUGUAGUCGGUCCCAAGGGUUGGGCUGUUCGCCCAUUAAAGCGGUACGCGAGCUGGGUUCAGAACGUCGUGAGACAGUUCGGUCCCUAUCCGUCGCGGGCGUUGGAAAUUUGAGAGGAGCUGUCCUUAGUACGAGAGGACCGGGAUGGACACACCGCUGGUGUACCAGUUGUUCUGCCAAGAGCAUCGCUGGGUAGCUAUGUGUGGACGGGAUAAACGCUGAAAGCAUCUAAGCGUGAAGCCCCCCUCAAGAUGAGAUUUCCCAUCACUUUAAGUGGGUAAGACCCCUGAGAGAUGAUCAGGUAGAUAGGUUGGGAGUGGAAGUACAGCGAUGUAUGGAGCGGACCAAUACUAACCGGUCGAGGACUUAACC
rnacentral:rRNA from 1 species